CGGACGGGUGAGUAACGACGUGGAGAACCUGCCGUAUACUGGGAGAUAACACUUAGAAAUAGGUGCUAAUACCGCAUAAGCGCACAGCUUCGCAUGAAGCAGUGUGAAAAACUCCGGUGGUAUACGAUGGAUCCGCGUCUGAUUAGCUGGUUGGCGGGGUAAAGGCCCACCAAGGCGACGAUCAGUAGCCGGCCUGAGAGGGUGAACGGCCACAUUGGGACUGAGACACGGCCCAAACUCCUACGGAAGGCAGCAG
rnacentral:rRNA from 1 species